AUUGAACGCUGUCGUCAGGCCUAACACAUGCAAGUCGGGCGAGUGACGGACGGGUUAGUAAUGUAUGGGAAUCUGCCUGAAGGAGGGGGAUAACUACUGGAAACGGUAGCUCAUACCGCAUACCAUCAGAUGAACCCAUAUGGGCUUAGCUGGUAGGUGGGGUAAAGGCUCACCUCGGCUACGAUCCCUAGCUGGUCUGAGAGGAUGAACAGCCACACUGGGACUGAGACACGGACCCGACUCCUACGGUGGGUAGCAGUGGGGAAUAUUGCACAAUGGGCGCAAGCCUGAUGCAGCCAUGCCGCGUGUAUGAAGAAGGCCUUCGGGUUGUAAAGUACGGUCAGUCGGGAGGCGUUACCGACAGAAGAAGCACCGGCUAACUCCGUGCCAGCAGCCGCGGUAAUUC
rnacentral:rRNA from 1 species